AGAGUUUGAUCAUGGCUCAGGACGAACGCUGGCGGCGUGCUUAACACAUGCAAGUCGAGCGGAAAGGCCCUUUCGGGGGUACUCGAGCGGCGAACGGGUGAGUAACACGUGAGUAAUCUGCCCCAGGCUCUGGGAUAGCCACCGGAAACGGUGAUUAAUACCGGAUAUGACCGGCUGCCGCAUGGUGGUUGGUGGAAAGUUUUUUCGGCUUGGGAUGUGCUCGCGGCCUAUCAGCUUGUUGGUGGGGUAAUGGCCUACCAAGGCUUUGACGGGUAGCCGGCCUGAGAGGGUGACCGGCCACACUGGGACUGAGACACGGCCCAGACUCCUACGGGAGGCAGCAGUGGGGAAUAUUGGACAAUGGGCGGAAGCCUGAUCCAGCAACGCCGCGUGAGGGAUGACGGCCUUCGGGUUGUAAACCUCUUUCAGUGCAGACGAAGCGAGAGUGACGGUAGGCGCAGAAGAAGCACCGGCCAACUACGUGCCAGCCGCCGCGGUAAUAC
rnacentral:rRNA from 1 species